GUCGAACGCUGGCGGUGUGCCUAACACAUGCAAGUCGAACGGAAAGGCCCUGCUUUCGUGGGGUGCCCGAGUGGCGAACGGGUGAGUAACACGUGAGUAACCUGCUCUUGACUUUGGGAUAACUUCAGGAAACUGGGGCUAAUACCGGAUAGGAGCCCCCGUUGCAUGGUGGGGGUUGGAAAGUCUCGGCGGUUGGGGUUGGAUUCGCGGCUUACCAGUUUGCUGGUGGGGUAGUGGCUGACCAAGGCUUGGACGGGUAGCCGGCCUGGGAGGGUGACCGGCCACAUUGGGACUGAGAUACGGACCAGUGUGCAACGGGGGACAGCGGUGGGGAGUAUUGCACAGUGAGAGGGCGCGUGUUGCGAAGGCGUCGGGGGCGGAAAGACGGCCUUCGGGGAGUGAACAGCAUUAGGCUAAGACGAAGCGUGAGUGACGGUACUGAGAGAAGAAGCACCGGCUAACUACGUG
rnacentral:rRNA from 1 species